GGGAAUCUUAAUGGAAUCUGGUGACAACGCCUCUCCAGUGACACACUUAAGAUACCUGAUUCGGUGAUGGGGAUUACGUUCCUGGCGGCUGGAACCAGUGUUCCUGAAGCGGUGUCCAGUGUGAUCGUGGCGAAACGCGGUCACGGAUCGAUGGGGAUCUGCAACUCGAUUGGGUCGAACACCUUCGACAUCCUGCUGUGCCUGGGGUGCCAUGGCUGAUCAAGGCUGUCUUCUUCCCGAUCCAGCCGGGCCAGAACUACGUGGCAAUAAAUUCGGCCGGAUUGGAGUACUCGGCGAUCACUUUGCUGUCGACGCUGUUCUUGCUUUACCUUACCUUCUCUACGAACAAGUUCAAGCUGGAUAAGAAGGUGGGGACCGCCUGCCUAGUGAUGUAUCUGGUCUUUAUGGUUUUCGCCUCCCUCAUUGAACUCAAUGUGUUCUUUCGCGUCAACCUGCCCACCUGCGGUCGAUCAUGAGAUGGAUUGGCGUUCGAUAACUGCGCGAUAUACGAAGGCCGACUUGUGAAGUAUGAUGUGUGGAUGAACGAUUUACCAUUUUGGAUGAAUGGAUGGUGUGGAGAAAGACCAGGCAUUUAGUGCUGGUUUAGUUUUCCGUUUCAGCGUCCGGCAGCUGGCUGGAAAACCCUGAGUGCAGUCGUUUAAUUAAUUAAAAUGUAUUUUCUGUUCUAUUCUAUCUACCAUGAUAGUUGAGUUACGGUA